UAGCCGUAAACGAUACUCGCUAGGUGUCGGCCACGGUGCGACCGUUGUCGGUGCCGUAGGGAAGCCGUGAAGCGAGCCACCUGGGAAGUACGGCCGCAAGGCUGAAACUUAAAGGAAUUGGCGGGGGAGCACCACAACGGGUGGAGCUUGCGGUUUAAUUGGAUUCAACGCCGGAAUCUUACCGGGACCGACAGCAACAUGAAGGCCAGGCUGAAGACUUUGCCGGAUUAGCUGAGAGGUGGUGCAUGGCGUAGUCGUGU
rnacentral:rRNA from 1 species